AAUUUAAAUUUAAAUCCCCUAUUCUCGGGUUAGGAUGAAAAAUUUUCACCCAACCAAACAAGGAAAGUUGAAGUUGAACCUUCCUUCACCUUCUUUCCUCCCUGCCUUUUCAUCCUUCCGCUUUUUCUGCAAACAAACACUACCUUGAAGUUGGCCAUGAUAAAGAGCUUCCCUUGCCUUGAAAGACCAGGCUUUAGAUCCUUUUCUGCAAGUCUACUCCCAUUUUCAUUCUGCAAAGUGCUAAAUGGCUCAUACCACAGCCUCCAUCAAUAAGCUUCACGACAAAGUGGCCAUCAUCACCGGUGGCGCAAGCGGCAUCGGGGAGGCCACAGCUCUUCUCUUUGCCGAGCACGGCGCACGUGCAGUCGUGAUCGCCGAUGUCCAGGACGAAAAAGGACAAAAACUGGCUGAAACCAUCGGUAACCUCCACUCCACCUACAUCCACUGCGAUGUAACGGAUGAGAACCAAGUCAAAUCUCUCGUGGAAUCCACCGUCGAGCUGUAUGGUCACCUCGAUGUCAUGUUCUGCAACGCGGGUACCGCCAGCACUUGCACUCAGACCGUCCUGGACUUUGACAUCGCUGCCUAUGAGAAACUCUUUGCCGUGAACGUGGGUGGCGUCGCAGCAAGUCUAAAGCACGCAGCGCGGGCGAUGGUGGAGGGAGGAGUAAAGGGUAGCAUCAUAUGCACAGCGAGCAUUGCGGCGAGGACAGGCGGAGACAGGGCCACGGAUUAUGCGAUGUCCAAGUGUGCGUUGUUGGGGUUGGCGAGGUCGGCGAGUAUGCAGCUGGGUGAGCAUGGGAUAAGAGUGAACUGCGUGUCGCCGGGGCCGGUGGCGACGCCUCUGCUGUCUAAUAUGAUGGGGAUGGGAAUGGAUGAGGCGGAGAAGGCUUUUGAAUCGAGUUAUUGGUUGAAAGGUGUGAUGAAGGUGAAGCAUGUAGCGGAUGCUGUGUUGUUUCUUGCUUGUGAGGAUUCUGAGUUUAUCACCGGCCAUAAUUUGGUUGUAGAUGGUGGAUUUAAAUUUUCAUAGUGAAAUAUACUUGUUAUGAAUAUCUUGGUAGAAGAAAAAUAAGAAUUUCGUUUGCUAUUAUCAUCUGCCAUGGAUAAAACUGUGUCCAGUAAUCUUUACAAGAAGUUAAUUAGCAUAUAUAUUUCUUUGAUUGUUAAUUAGCUCAAGAGUUUUUAUAUAUGCCACACUGAUAGACACUGAUCUUGGUAGUAGAACUGUUAUUAUUGCUAUGCUUGUAUGGUUCAGGAAUUGUCUAGACUCGUAAU
rnacentral:misc_RNA from 1 species